rnacentral:sRNA from 1 species
UUCUAUGAGAUCAUUCCAAAGCGCCUCAUUUCCAUCUUCACUGAGCAGGAGUUAGAGCUGCUUAUAUCAGGACUGCCCACCAUUGACAUCGAUGAUCUGAAAUCCAACACUGAAUACCACAAGUACCAGUCCAACUCUAUUCAGAUCCAGUGGUUCUGGAGAGCAUUGCGUUCUUUCGACCAAGCUGACCGUGCCAAGUUCCUCCAGUUUGUCACGGGUACUUCCAAGGUACCCCUGCAAGGCUUUGCUGCCCUCGAAGGCAUGAAUGGCAUUCAGAAGUUUCAGAUCCAUCGAGAUGACAGGUCCACAGAUCGCCUGCCUUCAGCUCACACAUGGUAAAAGGAAGGGUUUGUUUCUCCUUUUCCGCGCUUAGAUUGAGCUUGCGUACUUGAUGUUUUCAGGACCCUACCCAAGAUUGGGAACGCAAAUGUGGCUGAGUCCUGGACCUUGGGUAACUCACAAUUUGGUGUUUCUACGGAGGUGAUGUUUGAGAUGAGAUGUGCUAGACAUAGUGGGGGCUGGGGAGACACUGGCAGGUAAACAGCACCACAAGAGAGCAUGGUGUAUUCCAGGGCCAGCGUGACUGGAGCAAGGAGGAGUUGCAGGGAGCAGAAGUCUAAAGAGCUCAGCAGAGGUCCGAUUACCAGUGACUCUGAAAACCUCCUUCAAGUUUGCACUUUAGCCUGUGGGCGAGUGAGGCCAGGGUAUUUAAGGAGGAGUGACAGGGUCAGAUUUUUGGUUUUGGUGCCUGAUGGCCAGUUUGGGAGCCAGAUAAAGGGGGGCAGACUGGGCUGAGACAA